UUUUCUGCUACCUACCUAGUUACCACAUCCACACACUAUAUCCCGACCUUCUGACUGGGCCAUGUAAAACACCACACAGAACCAGGAAGAUACUGAGAUCUGUCAUUGUGAGAGGAUGUACAGGUUAGCUGGGCAAUUGCUGGAGGCCGGAGCCAAUUUGUUUAAUUAAACAGAAUUAAGGGAAGAAGUGUCCCCAAUUAAAGCAGGAAAAAUCGUCUGUUUUUAAGUGGGAAUUCAGACCUGGCUGGCUUCUUAGUCUCUACAGCUGAAAAGCCAGCCCGGAAACAGAAGAUACCGGCCGCCGGGCUGACAGCAGCUUCCUUUAUCUCUCGGCGAGGACGAUAAAUGGCAGCUCCUGAUCAAAAGGAGGCCGGGACUGACAGAGGCGGCUGAAUGGAGAGCCGCGUCUCUGGGGUCAGGGCUGGACCGCGCCGGCGAUGCUAGGCUGCUGCCGCAGGGAGAUAAUCCUGGCAGCGCGGAGAGGAGGCUGCGAUGCGCGUUUAUCAGCAGGACAUUGCAACGGGAGCUGCCUCUUAUCCUCGCUGUGAAAGCACCGCGGCAGAGAUGCAGCCAGCUGUUUCCUCCCCAGCGAAGGGCAGGGGAUGAGGCGCAGGCGGGUGGCCGAGCAGGUCGCGGGCUCGCCUGGGCUUCAGGAAAGCAGGUGUCUAUUCCUGGCUUGGCCCGCUGGAUGACCCUGGGCAGGUUGCAGCGGCUUUCUGUGCCUCAGUUUCCCCAUCUGUAAAAUGGGUGUAAUGCUCUGGCUCUACUGAGGAAAAGUGCUAUGUGAGAGGUGGUGUUAAUAAACCCCAG